ensembl:lncRNA
GAUCAAGGUGAAGUGUCUGCUCCUACUCUCCCAUCUCACCAUGGAAAUGCAUCAACUUCUUUUUAUAAUCUACCUUCCUCCAGGAUAUUCACAAAGCGAGGACACAACGUGAUAGAGACUGACGCUGUUACCUGUUGGUGGGCCUGGUGGUGAUCAUUACCUUCAAGGAAACAGUGCUGCAGGUUCCCCGGGUCUCUGCGGUGAUGAGGCUCUUCUCUGGGCCGCAGUAUGCGGAGCUGGAGGGCGUCCACCUCAGUGAACUGACACUUACUGAGGAAAGCUGUGAGGA